rnacentral:lncRNA from 1 species
ACUUCUUUCGCUUCCUCAUAUGUCCCAAGGUUAAUCACUUCCACUGAUUCUUCAUGCGGCUGGAUGACUUUUUCCUCCUGCUUGAGCAGCCUUGCCAAUUCUUCUGGGAGUUUGGCCUCUUCCUCACACUCUUCAUCAGCUUGAUUAAUCCGGUUGUCAAAGUCGUAUGAGUCCAUAGCAGAAUUGUCAUUGGUGGUUGUCGAGGAUGAUCUGCAUGAUUUAAGGUCCACGCUUUUAUUGGUAUGAAAGAAAGGAUGAUUUG